GUAUAGUGUAAACAGGGAUAGAUAACUGCUGAAAAGGUGGUUCACCAGGUAGAAUGGAUGAAUAGUCAGAAAAAAUAGUUAUCAUCUGUAGUAUAGGAGUUGGUAUGUCAAGGUAGUAUAACGAAGAUGGGAGAGGGGAAGAAAAUGCCAGACUGUGAGAGUUGUGAGCCGAGGUAAGCUUGAUGCUACUUCUUUUCUUUUAUUUGUUAUUUUCUUUGAAUAAGAGGAUUGAAAGUUUCUGAAUAUUGUGAAGUGAAUUAUGGAAUGGAAAUAUAAUUGGUAUUAUUUGAGAAGAAGAAAGAUUGAAUACUGAAAUCUGAUUGUAGUUCAGCAGAGAGAAUGAGUCUGUAUUUGU
rnacentral:lncRNA from 1 species